rnacentral:rRNA from 1 species
GACGAACGCUGGCGGCGUGCUUAACACAUGCAAGUCGAACGGAAAGGCCUGCUUUCCCUUGUGGAUUGCGGGUACUCGAGUGGCGAACGGGUGAGUAACACGUGAGUGAUCUGCCCCCAACUUGGGUAUAAGCCUGGGAAACUGGGUCUAAUUCCCGAUAGGACUGCAGGGUGGUGCCUGUGGUGGAAAACGAUUUUCUAGUGGUUGGGGAUGAGCUCGCGGCCUAUCAGCUUGUUGGUGGGGUAAUGGCCUACCAAGGCGGCGACGGGUAGCCGGCCUGAGAGGGUGGACGGCGACAUUGGGACUGAGAUACGGCCCAGACUCCUACGGGAGGCAGCAGUGGGGAAUAUUGCACAAUGGGCGGAAGCCUGAUGCAGCGACGCCGCGUGGGGGAUGACGGCCUUGGGGUUGUAAACUCCUUUCGACCGCGAGGAAGCCACCUGGUUGGAAGGGUGGUGACGGUAGUGGUAGAAGAAGCACCGGCUAACUACGUG